UGUAACUGUAAGAUCACUAUAAAAAAUUACGUUGUGUGAUACAACAGAGUCAUAUGCAUCACUCAUAUCCAUGGAAUUUGCGCAUCACAUGAUCCAGUCUUCAUAAAUAACAGCAAUCUUACAGUACCAGUUCAAAGCACCAGAGCUUCAAAGGAGGAAUAUUCUUGGAAUAAAGAAUACGAGGAUAUUUUCUACCAUAGUCAGCGAUGAAGACACUCUGCAUUCUUUUGAUUCUGAUGGUUUGUUAUAAAUCUGGCAAAAUGGAGCAAAUGAUAAAUUCAAUUUCGGAGAUAAAACCAACUGAGGGGAGGAGAGGACCAUUUUGUGGAUGGGUAAACCAUCAGCGAUUUCAUUGCAUAAAUGGAGAAUCGUGUUGUAGAUUUAUUCCAAGAACACCACAACGCUAUUAUUGCUGUCCUAUUCGACCAUCAGUAUGCUGUAGUAACGGAUUCUGUUGUCCAGUUGGUUCCAUUUGCGUGGGCAAUCAUUUAUGUUGGCAUUAUCCAAACAUGACCAAAACCUACGUAAAAUGAAAGCUUUUUCUCAUCCAUAGUACUUUUUAUGAUUAACUUUUUAAAUAAUUGUAAAAUCUUGUGAGUUAUGAGGAGUACAUAUGUAUGAAUACCAACAUCUGAUGGAUAAAACUAUUUCCGUGUUUGAAGAAAAUUUGAAUAAAAAGUAAAGAUACUUGUUAUAGAAAUGAAUCAAA